CAGGGAAACGCCUUCUGAAAGCGAAGGGCCGUGCUGCCCCAGCGCCCCACCGCAAAUCGGAGUGACCUGCGCUUCCCCUGAGUGGAAUUUUACAUGUCCCCACCUCAACAGAUACAGAAAAAAACCACAUUACUUCCAUCCUGGCUGCAUUGUUCUUCAUCUGUGCUUCCACACUAUGCAGAGUUGAAGGUAGGCAAGUGGCCCAAGCAUUGAGCCCAGGAAAGGUGAGUGGAGAGGAACAUUAUAUGGCUAAUGACUUACUAGCCUUUGAGAUGAAACCUUGGACUCUAUUCUGGGCAGAAUAAUUGAUCACUUCAAACUGAUUCAAACUCAGGGUGAAACGAUGAUGUUUCCUCACUCAAAGUUCAUUUAAGCUCUCAGUAUACACACAGUUUCACUGAUACCACACAAUGCUGGCCACCUUCCAUCACUGCAGUGUCCUGGAAGAUGAGGCCUGGCCUGGAAAGCUGUCUGGAUGGGGAACAGAACCAUUUUUGCAACAAAAUCUGAAAGAUGAGAACCUCAUAUAAACUGCAGGGAUGAUGCUACUGGAAUCGCACACAGAUGGUUCCUGUCAUGUUUUCAAGCGGAAUAUCACUAAAGGUGUUGACCACUGGCAAGCCUAUAUGGGGAGUCUAGUGGGCCUGAGACAGCUGAAAUCUAGACCUGAACAUCACAUCUCGUAUGUUAGAUGAAAUGUGAGGUAUCUCCCAAGCACAAAUCUUGUCUGACUUGGAAAGGUGACAACUUCUCAUGUUCUCCAAGCACCACAUUCCUCUUGAAAAGCAAGCAAACAAACAAAAGUAGUCCCUUAUGUUGUGGUCAGUGUGGUGACCCAAUGACUGGUGUGAUGUUUCCUAAAUAUUUUAGUACAGCCAGUACUACUUAACUCCUCUGCAGGAAGAAGGAUAUGGUGGACUAAACUGACCUUUGCCAGUCAUCCUGCACAUCUUAUAGCAGCUUUGAAUUUUCUGGCUGAGAGAUCCAGCUCUGAGGGAUUCUCUUUGCUAUCAACAGAGUCUAAGUUGGCCAAUAAACAGCAAUCAUUCAGA